AGGCUACCAUGUUCUCUGAACACUGGUUGGAGCUGCUGUGGAGAGGUUGAUGAAGUGGCUGGAGCUAGCCCACUCACAUGCCCCCUUCCAGACUUGUUACAGAAGAUGAUGAUCGGAUGCUUUGAAACAGCCAGACUGCGCAUGAGCAGCAAGCAUCCUCCCAGAACAUGUCCCAGGGCGUGGUCUCUUUCCAGUCACUGCACCUUUGAGGGAAGAAUGGGAUCUAGUUGGCUAAGCACCCAGGACAACUCUGGCAACUCACCGCCCCCCCCUGUGAAUCCACCUCGUCCAGGAGUACCAUUCUGCAGUAAGGACACGUAGCUCGAUGUUCUUCCUACACUCAACAGUCACGACUGGAGAGGAGGGGACAGGACAGAAGGUGCCUUAGGGAUGAGAUCUCAUGAUGGACGCACAGGACAUGGAAAGCUGCAUGAACACUGUGUCUGCUUGGAUUUGGAGAAAAACAGAGCCUUGCAGCCAUGAGUUAGAGCAUUUUCCCAUCUUCAUCUUUCAUUUGAUAGAGGGAGUGAGUAAACUGAAGGAACCAUUUUCUGUCCUA
rnacentral:lncRNA from 1 species